GCUGAACUGGUGCUGGAGUGUGCCAGUGGCGGCUCCAGGCACCAGCGCUCCAAGCGUGUGCCUGGGGUGGCAAGCCGCGGAGGGCGCCCUGCCGGUUCCUGCGAGGGCGGCGGUCAGGCCGCCUUCGGUGGCUUGCCUGUGGGAGGUCCACUGCUCCCGCGGAUUCAGCAGCAAUUCGG